rnacentral:misc_RNA from 1 species
AAUUCUCAACCUUUUCUGGCUUUCUAUAUAAUGUUAGCCAUUUUGGUUUGGAUUUGUUGGAGGUUGCUGGCUUCAAUCUAAAGCCAGCUCUUCUUAAAUACAUUAGCAUAGUCUUUGCUGAAUUAUCCUUGGUGUGAUAAAAUUAUCUGUCAUGGAGAAAUCAGUUCUGGGUUCACAGAUUUUGCUUCUAAUAGUCCUUUUAGUGGACAGCAUGUACAA